CGGUGGAGUAACCAUUUAUGGAGCUAGCCGUCGAAGGUGGGACAAAUGAUUGGGGUGAAGUCGUAACAAGGUAGCCGUAUCGGAAGGUGCGGCUGGAUCACCUCCUUUCUAAGGA
rnacentral:rRNA from 2 species